rnacentral:lncRNA from 1 species
AAUUGGAUCUGGACAAAGCUUCUGAUAGGAUUGGGAAUUCUUCUUAUCUGAUGCCAUAGAUAAGCCUCUGGGCCUUUGCACGUGCUGUUUCCUCUGAAGGGAAGGAGGCCUCUCACUUCUCUAGAGUGCAGGAACCAUCUCCACGACGCAGCCUUCCCUCUAGCACUCUCACCCCACCCCACCCUGUCUCCUUACAGAAGCUCAGAUCACCUCUGACAUGGGCUCCUUGGAUGUUGUCUGCAUCUCCUGGAGAUAGGAGCUGCCCGAGAUCAGAGGAUGGUGGG